rnacentral:rRNA from 1 species
GUGCCAGCAGCCGCGGUAAUUCCAGCUCCAAUAGCGUAUAUUAAAGUUGUUGUGGUUAAAAAGCUCGUAGUUGAACCUUGGGCCUGGCUGGCCGGUCCGCCUCACCGCGUGCACUGGUCCGGCCGGGCCUUUCCCUCUGUGGAACCCCAUACCCUUCACUGGGCGUGGCGGGGAAACAGGACAUUUACUUUGAAAAAAUUAGAGUGCUCCAGGCAGGCCUAUGCUCGAAUACAUUAGCAUGGAAUAAUAAAAUAGGACGCGCGGUUCUAUUUUGUUGGUUUAUAGGACCGCCGUAAUGAUUAAUAGGGACAGUCGGGGGCAUCAGUAUUCAACUGUCAGAGGUGAAAUUCUUGGAUCAGUUGAAGACUAACUACUGCGAAAGCAUUUGCCAAGGAUGUUUUCAUUAAUCAGGAACGAAAGUUAGGGGAUCGAAGACGAUCAGAUACCGUCGUAGUCUUAACCAUAAACUAUGCCGACUAGGGAUCGGACGGUGUUAUUCAUGACCCGUUCGGCACCUUACGAGAAAUCAAAGUGCUUGGGGCUCCAGGGGGAGUAUGGUCGCAAGGCUGAAACUUAAAGAAAUUGACGGAAGGGCACCACCAGGGGUGGAGCCUGCGGCUUAAUUUGACUCAACACGGGGAAACUCACCAGGUCCAGACACAAUAAGGAUUGACAGAUUGAGAGCUCUUUCUUGAUUUUGUGGUGGUGGUGCAUGGCCGUUCUUAGUUGGUGGGGUGACUUGUCUGCUUAAUUGCGAUAACGAGCG